UCACCUCGCACCGUUUUAGUCAAAAUACUUCACAAAAGAAACGAUUUGAUGGAUGUUUUUUAUGGCCACUGUGAACAAUAUAAACACUGAAGGAGAGACAAAGAGAGACAGAGAGACAGAGAGCCGGAGUAACCGACGCCACAGAGAUGGUUGUGGGUGGAGGAAGGAUUAUUCCAACUGUCAUCGCAAUUAGGAAAUAGUUCGAACGUCAGCUGAUGGUCGGGCUGGUCGGUUUGUUGGGUGGCGGAGAGACAAUCAAAACCCGUGAUUAAUGAUAACAACAGCAAUAAAGACAGAAGUAGCAGUAGCCGAAGUAUAAACGAUAGAAGCAAAGUUUCACCUUACGUUCAUUCCGUAGCAAGUAUUGGAUAACGACGGAUGAUCGAUGGACCAAAGUGCAAGAGAUAACACAGGAUAACGUUGUGGCUUACAUUGUGGUCACUUGGAACACUGCACUUGUUGCAUCUACACUCACUCGAGUCUCACUCAACUGCACUCACUCCCGUCAUCCGCCCUUAAAGCUGUCAUCUGCCAUAGACACAUCAUACAUGUACACAAACACACACAACAAACACACACAUACACGAUUAUAGAGGGCAACGGAAUGUAUGAACAAUAUCAACAACAUAUCUAAGGCUGUCUUGCUACGACAUCAACAAAAGCCAAAGCGUCAAGUGACAACAACAACAACAGCAGCAGCAGCAACAGAACAGAGAAUCAAGUUCAGAAAUCAGUUUUGAUCCAGAACAUAUUUAGUCCUCUUCGCAACCGUCCACCAUGGGGUUUAAAGUUUCAGAGACAAAAUACAAGUCCGUUUCAUCUUGGUUGGAAUGGCAUUCCUUGGCUUUAUGGUGGUCUAUGCCCUCCGUGUCAACCUCAGCGUGGCCAUUAUAGCCAUGACGAACACUCUACAGUCCGAAGAAGACAAAAACCUCACAA